CCUGUGAGCUACCUGAUGUUGCUGCUCAGUUCUGAGGAGGCGAGCUUACCUUUUGCCAGAUACUUGAGAUGUCUCAUUCCGCCUCACUUUAUCUCGCGAGAAGUGUGUUUACAGCACUUUGCCAUCAGCCGUUCGUGUCGCAGUGAACUCGGCCAUUGAGCCAGCAUGCACAAUGAGAAAAAGCAGCGAACAGAUACAAAAUGGGAUGGAGCCAUUACUGAUGUUCUCCUUCAGAAGCAGGCCUGCAUCAAGCCAAACUGUAAAUAGUCCUGCAGCCCAGAUCCAGACUGAGCCUGAAGCCACGUCAAAGCGACGUCUGUCUCUUCACCUAAGACGUCCACCCGCAGGGACCCCUGUCGGCUCUGUUUUUCCAACAGGAGGAGGAUCUUCCUUCUAAUUAAAUAAAUCCUGUGACGUUAAGAGCGCCGGAAAGUUCUUCUGACUCUUCGCUAUUUUUAAAAGAAUGUGGAAAGUUUGAUGCCAAAAUAAAAAUCAGAAACUUAUCCAUUGCAAAGCAAGAGGAUCCAGUCUGAAAUAAGAGUUUGAUUUUGUCAUGCAAGUAAGUUUCCUACUAUCCUUUAAAAACAACCGAAUUUCAUUUUAAUUUAGUUCAGUUUAGUUUUAUGGGAUGUCUUGUUUUGAAAUGAAACACCUCACAUCAUCAAGUCGAUAAUCUCAUUAAUACUGAUGCAAGAUCGCCCAUCAAUAUGAGGUCAGGAGGUUCAGGUAACCGCUUUAAUUCGCUUCUAAUUCAAAAAAGUGCCCCAAAUACCCAAUUUGUUGGCUUUAAAAAUCACCGUUACUUACUUUAGCAAUAUUCAACACACUACUAUUCAAUAAGACUAAACCUGUAACAUUUUUAUCAUUAUUUAUAAAAAGCACACACAGACAGAAGUAAUAUCUGUGGCUCGUAGCAUCGAGGGUGACCAGAAAUAAAUUCCCAGAAAAGGUUUAUGAGUUUGCAUAAGAUGAAAUAUUUCAACCACGUACGACCUCAAAAUACAUCAAACACUCACAUCACAAGUUGUCAGUACACACAUCAGUGUCACUAAAUCAUUUUUGCCAUAAAAGUGUCAUUUUGUCAAACUGAAGGAGGACUAAAAGCCGGUAAACAGGAGUGAAAGAAAGAUGCCUUCACUUUGGCUUCUCUUAUUCUCCUUUAUUAUUAUUGUCUUAGUAUUAUAAGAUAUCCCAAGACUCAAAUAAACCUUUAACAGAUUUAAGACAUUUAUUUGCCCUCAAACGCAUUCAUAUAACUUAUGAUACAAAAACAGACAGCAUCAGACUUAAAAUACCAGAAAUAAUCUUGGUCUGUAAGUGUACGGGGGAAGUUUAUAAAUUAUUAUAAAAAUCUGGUUUUAGUCUAUGCUCUUAAAAUACGUCUGUUGUAUUAUUUAUCCAGAUGGCAUAAUUUAGAUGAUUAAAUUAAAGGUAAAUGAUCCUCUCACACACGUAUAUCCUUCCUUAAAAUCUCUAAAACUCAAAGCAGCCGUGUGGUCGUGUCUAAUCCUCUGUAUUCUAUUCAUCUGUACUCUGUAUUGUCUGCGGCACAAGUUUAAAAAGUACGCAGUUCAGAUUAAAAUCUGACACUACGCAAAACAAAGUAGAAGUGUGUCAUUGUUUCAGAGUUUUCAGGGCCCCGGCAGGUUUUUCACAUCAGCCACAAUAACUCCGCGCUCUGGGGAUCCGAGUGGACGACUCAGGCUGUGCCACAGGCGCUCUGGGCCGCCCGAGAAAGGAAAUUAAUUCCUCUUUGGGAGAAAAUGACUUUAACAGAUAGCGUGGCGAAGGCAGGCUGUAACUUUGCUGCUGUCGCUCCCCCCCACACAGUCCCUCCAAAGCCUCCGAAGGCAGCGCAGCAGAGGAAAGGCACCUUAGGUGAGUGAGUGUCAAACUCUUCUACUGUUUACCUUACAAAUUAAGGCUAUUAGCAGGUUAGCCGGGCUGUAGGAGGAGAUGUAUGUGCUCAGGGCCCUGAGCAGGUAUUAAUUCACACGUGUUUCCAAUGUGACGGUGACGGGCGUGUUUUCAGUCAGCCCGAGUCUUCGCCCCUCGUGGGCUGUGAAGAAAAAUCUCCCACAGUGUGCGUAACUGUGUGUGUGUGAGACGUGACAUUUUACUUCCAGAUCAGGCUGAUGUUGAUAUCAGGUGUCACCCUGUCACAUUGUCCACUUCAGAUAUUACUGAGAUUCCACAUAACAUCCAGCCGUUAAACUUUAUUUUCUUUACACACUUGGCUCAUUUAAUUUUCCAUCCUUUCAUUUGGCGAGUCGUUUGUCUUCUCUGCCACCAGUGUUGGGCAUGUGGUGAACUACAUGGAAUUAAACCAGUAGUUUAACUACAUUCUCGUGCUUCAACUACAUUCAAAUGUGCUUCGUGAUUCGAGUAGCUCAGUUGCUUUAUUGCCAUUUUUUGUGUAAUCGCCGAAACUACAAACAAUUUUUGACCACGAGAGGAAAGUAAAACUAUGCCUGUAGGCCUUGAUUAGGUGUCAGGGACUCAUCAGUAUUGAUUAUUUAUUACCAAAUGUCCAGAGAAGUUGGCUGGCUGGGUGGUGUCACCUGAAGCAGGUGAUGAACUCAUACACACUUUCACAGCACUUUCAAAUGAAAGCAGCUGGUGUGUUUUAUUUGUUUUGGUUUAUGUGUGACCUGUGAACAAGUGGGCACUUAUUUGCUGGCAUGUGACAUAUUUAUAUCAUAUUUAGUCGUAAUUUCAAAUCACGUUCACUUUGUCAGUUUGAUUAUGUGUUUACACAGUAGUUUGAACUGCUAUUUCUAAGUAGCUUUAGUAAAUCGAACCAAAUCUUUCUGCAGGUAGUUUUGCUGUAGUUCAGCUUUUUCCACUGUGAACAACAAGUGGGGCUGCUAACCGCAGUGUAAUAUUAGUUUGGACUCAGUGAAGGCUUUUAGUGUCCCGUGACGGAGGAAAUGCUGUUUCAGAUGCCUUCCAGUCCCAAAUGUUCCCAUCCGGGCACACAAAUCAUCGAUGACCGAAUUCUGAAACUACCUGCAUGGGCCUCGUAAGGCUCACGUUGGUCACACCUUUACGUGAUGACACGUCAGAUGAAGAGAGGACUAAAGAGAGCUGAAGAGGUCAGAACGGCGACCUCCUGAUGAGGAUUCCUCCUCAGUCGAGAGCGAAGGUGGACCUGCUGCUCAGCCUGUGGCUGUCAGUCACGCAGGCAGGAAGGAUUACAUUAAAGACGGCUCAGUGCCACCGUCACCAAAACAAACAAGCCGCCGCCGCCGCGUCGCGCCUGCUCUCACAUAACGUCCGAGUUUCCUGCGUGUUUCGGGAGGGGGUUGCUUUUCAUUGGAAAGUCAACAGCCUUCACUGCAGGACAAAGUUUGUGCUUUUGCAGAGAUGCAACACAACAGCGAGAGACCCGAUCAAAACAUCACAGGAAAGCAGAGCAGCUUCGGCCUUCGUGCGGACAGAAAACAUGAAACUUUAUUUUAAAUGCCCGUAUUUUGCAUUUAACAAAUAACCAUUUAAUAAAUACUUUGUAACCAGAAUGUCUGUGAGCAGACUGCAGUGUCUCUUAAUGUUUUUGUCCUGUGCGGGCCGCCGUCAGCUGAGGCUUGUUGUAAACUGUACAAUAAAACACACUCGUUAUGGUCUCGUUUAUGUCCUCGCAGGGAAGUUGACGAAUUAACAAUAAUAAAACAAACAAAAAUAAUUAGUGUUCAAAAUACUUUAUCAAACAUUUAUGUGCUGCCUAUAAAUGCUAAAUUGAUGGCUUACAGUAAAGACUAAAAAUUUGGACAAAUUUUAUUUGAUAAACCAAUAGAAGCUUUAAAUGAUAAUCGUAACUGGAAAUGAUUCAGAUUCAGCUUUCAGCAUAAUCCUAAGACACAUAAUUACGACAGCAUGACAGCCUUUCAGAGUUGGAUGGACUUUGUGAUAAAAUCUGAAAUCUUUGUUCUGCACUCAGCUCCUUCGUGUGUUUUAAUGCUGAGUUACAGAAAGCUUUGAUGUUGCUCUCAGCUUCAGACUGUAAUAUAAGCGUUUAAAAGGACCCAGUGUGUGUGUGUGUGUGUAAUUAUUAUUAGACAUUUUUUUAUUUUCUGACUAAUAUGGAAACUUUUCAGAGUGUGUAACACUCAGUGAGCCUCUCCUGAUAUAUAAAGCAUGUAGCCAAACGCAGUAAGAUUAGAAUAAACGCGUUUUGUAAGAGCAGUUAAGCCAAUAUGACCUGAAUUAGACGUUUUAGUUAAAUAAAACCUGCAGCACUUAAAACUUUUGAAAGAUUUCUGACAUCAGGGAAAUUUUUUUGACUCUCUUCAGGUUUUAUUUUUUUUUUUUUACCUUUUGAAAAAUAUCUUCUCUUACAAAAUGACUGCUGGUGUAACAGGACGUCAUCUGAAGAUCAGAUGCCUACAAGUCAGGGUUGUGUUAAAAGACAAAAGUAUUUCUGCAGGAUGUUUUCAACCACAUGAGCAUAAAUAAUCGUCCCAUUAAGUUUUGAGUGAAUUUCACGAUUUGAACUAAAACACUUUUAAAAACCCUUUUCAUUCUGACUGUAUGGGCCUGCACAUCAGCUUCAGAGAUAAAUUAGAUGUUUCCUUGCUUUGAUCCGGCGCCUAAUCACAGAGCAGCGACGGGGACAGAGACGCUGAGACGAACAUCUGCGGCGGCGGGGAAACUGUCCUUUCCUUCGAGACUUCAGCCGCAGAUUUACAGCUGUUGUCGGGGAAUAAUGUCAGUGAUAUACGACGAAGUGAGACAGUAAAUGUUGUCUCCCUUUACAGCUCUGUCACAUGGAGAGACGAGCACUGAGAGCCGUCACAGCGAGCGCCAGUGUGAGGGGCGUAAAGGGAAAACGCUGACAGCUUCGAACGCGUCUGUUAUUUUUUUUACCUCGCUUCAUGGAGCCUGAGAUGGACAAAAACCAUUUGUGUGUUUAAUCUUCUUCUGUUUGACUCAGCUUUUGUCAGUGAUCAGAU